rnacentral:rRNA from 1 species
UACGUAGGGUGCGAGCGUUAAUCGGAAUUACUGGGCGUAAAGCGUGCGCAGGCGGUUUGUUAAGCCAGAUGUGAAAGCCCCGGGCUCAACCUGGGAACUGCGUUUGGUACUGGCAAGCUAGAGUACGGUAGAGGGGGAUGGAAUUCCGCGUGUAGCAGUGAAAUGCGUAGAUAUGCGGAGGAACACCGAUGGCGAAGGCAAUCCCCUGGACCUGUACUGACGCUCAUGCACGAAAGCGUGGGGAGCAAACAGG